CUUAGUGGCGGACGGGUGAGUAACGCGUGGGUAACCUGCCGUAUACAGGGGGAUAACACUUAGAAAUAGGUGCUAAAACCGCAUAAGCGCACAGCGCCGCAUGGCGCAGUGUGAAAAACUCCGGUGGUAUACGAUGGACCCGCGUCUGAUUAGCCAGUUGGCAGGGUAACGGCCUACCAAAGCGACGAUCAGUAGCCGGCCUGAGAGGGUGGACGGCCACAUUGGGACUGAGACACGGCCCAAACUCCUACGGGAGGCAGCAG
rnacentral:rRNA from 1 species